UACGAAGGGAGCUAGCGUUGUUCGGAAUCACUGGGCGUAAAGCGCACGUAGGCGGAUGUGUCAGUCAGGGGUGAAAUCCCGGAGCUCAACUUCGGAACUGCCCUUGAUACAGCACGUCUUGAGUCCGGAAGAGGUGGGUGGAAUUCCGUAGUGUAGAGGUGAAAUUCGGUAGAAUAUUAGGAAGAACACCGGUGGCGAAGGCGGCCCACUGGCUCGACACGUGACGCUGAGGUGCGAAAGCGUGGGGAGCAA
rnacentral:rRNA from 1 species